UACGUAGGGUGCGAGCGUUAAUCGGAAUUACUGGGCGUAAAGCGUGCGCAGGCGGCGCGUUUAAGACAGGUGUGAAAGCCCCGAGCUUAACUUGGGAAUUGCGCUUGUGACUGGCGUGCUGGAGUGUGGCAGAGGGGAGGUGGAAUUCCACGUGUAGCAGUGAAAUGCGUAGAGAUGUGGAGGAACACCGAUGGCGAAGGCAGCCUCCUGGGCCAGCACUGACGCUCAUGCACGAAAGCGUGGGGAGCAAACAGG
rnacentral:rRNA from 1 species